UACAGAGGGGGCAAGCGUUGUUCGGAAUUACUGGGCGUAAAGGGCGCGUAGGCGGCCUUCUAAGUCGAACGUGAAAUCCCCGGGCUCAACCCGGGAACCGCGCUUGAGACUGGAGAACUAGAGUUCGGGAGAGGAUGGUGGAAUUCCCAGUGUAGAGGUGAAAUUCGUAGAUAUUGGGAAGAACACCGAUGGCGAAGGCAGCCAUCUGGACCGACACUGACGCUGAGGCGCGAAAGCGUGGGGAGCAAACAGG
rnacentral:rRNA from 1 species